UACGUAGGGGGCAAGCGUUGUCCGGAAUCAUUGGGCGUAAAGAGCGUGUAGGCGGCCCGAUAAGUCCGCCGUGAAAGUCCAGGGCUCAACCCUGGAAUGCCGGUGGAAACUGUCGGGCUGGAGUCCGGAAGAGGCGAGUGGAAUUCCUGGUGUAGCGGUGAAAUGCGCAGGUAUCGGGAGGAACACCAAUGGCGAAGGCAGCUCGCUGGGACGGUACUGACGCUGAGACGCGAAAGCGUGGGGAGCAAACAGG
rnacentral:rRNA from 1 species